UGGGUGCACAUAUUUAGAUUAUCAUGAGAUUUUAAAGGCGAGUCCGGAAGAGGAAGAAAAGAGGGCAUAAGAGCAGUUGGAGUGGGAACAUGGAGGAAGCCUAACUUGCUUAGUUUUCACCUAUGAAUUGAGGUUGGAAACCAAAUGUAUGUGCGCACAUUCGGUGCGAGAUCUACAAGAAACGGGCUAGGAAGAGGAAGAAAGAGAGUGCCUAAGAGCAGUGGGAAUGAGUACAUAGAGAACCAUGGUUUGGUAUUCCCGAUGCCUCUCAUUCCUAUCGUUCUUAAGCGCUCCUUCCUCACCCUUCUUGUUUGCUACAUUCAGAUUAUACAAGAAGCUUGAUAUCAUUAAUCUGCACCUGCACACAUGUGCUCCAGAAGCACAACAAAAUGAAAGGCAUAUACUUGGAACCCA